UAUUUACCCUCUUCCUCUUCUUCUUUGUCUAUCGAUGAAACACGCUCGAAUCGAUCUGAGAAGGGAUGAAGGUAGCAGUUGUGAAUCUGAAACCAUGGCAGAGUCUGAUUUUGGUAGCCAUUAACGAGAUGUCAAAGCGGAAAUCCCCUGCAUUAGUUGCAUUCAUCGAUCUCUUUUUCUCUUCUCAAUUCUGUAAGUCGGUAGCUCCAAGAUGAGCAAUCAACCAAUUCCUCAUCCGAGGAGGAACAAUCUAAAUCCAAGCGUAGUUCGUCAACUGUAAAGAAAUCGGCUUCUUCUUCUGAGAAUGGAAUCAGUAAUGGAACCAAACGAGGUCUACUAUUGGAGAGAGACGGGAUUCGUCCCAUCGAUGAUUACAGAGGCGCACUCUAGAUCGUGAUUCACUCCAGGUUGCUUCACGGAGGAAAAGGCAAGACAACUUCGACUGAUGACCAUGGAGACCAAAACCUUCCACGAUAACAUGUACCACUUUGCGAUCGCAUCUCAACUCACUUCAGACUUUUCGAAUCGCUCCAAUCGAUAGUGUCUGCGCCGUUCUCCGGAGCCGACAGUUUUUGUUUUCUAGGAUUUUAGGGUUUUCUUUAAAAGUGAUAACGAUGAUGUUGUA